UACGGAGGAUUCAAGCGUUAUCCGGAUUUAUUGGGUUUAAAGGGUGCGUAGGCGGUCGGAUAAGUUAGAGGUGAAAUCCCGGGGCUCAACUUCGGAAUUGCCUCUGAUACUGUUCGGCUAGAGAGUAGUUGCGGUAGGCGAAAUGUAUGGUGUAGCGGUGAAAUGCUUAGAGAUCAUACAGAACACCGAUUGCGAAGGCAGCUUACCAAGCUACUUCUGACGUUGAGGCACGAAAGCGUGGGGAGCAAACAGG
rnacentral:rRNA from 1 species